rnacentral:rRNA from 1 species
UACAGAGGUGGCAAGCGUUGUUCGGAAUUACUGGGCGUAAAGCGCGCGCAGGCGGUCUUCCAAGUCAGUGGUGAAAGCCCGGAGCUCAACUCCGGAACUGCCAUUGAAACUGUUAGACUUGAGGAUGAGAGAGGUGAGUGGAAUUCCCAGUGUAGAGGUGAAAUUCGUAGAUAUUGGGAAGAACACCGGUGGCGAAGGCGGCUCACUGGCUCAUUACUGACGCUCAGGCGCGAUAGCGUGGGGAUCAAACAGG